GCACCGACCCUCACGCUCUCCCGGCUUCAGGCUGCUGCCCGCAAGCCUUGCGAGCCCGGCGGGAGUUCCUGCUGGGCUCGCAAGGCUUGCGGAUAGCAGCCUGUACUGGGGGCUGGGGGGGGGGAAUAU